rnacentral:rRNA from 1 species
AAGCCAUGCGAGUCGAGAGGGUUCGGCCCUCGGCAGACUGCUCAGUAACACGUGGAGAACUUGCCCUAGGCUGGAGGAUAACGUCGGGAAACUGACGAUAAUACUCCAUAGCCCAUCCUUCCUGGAACGGUGGAUGGGUGAAAGCUCCGGCGGCCUAGGAUAGCUCUGCGGCCUAUCAGGUUGUAGCGAGGGUAACGUCCUCGCUAGCCUACGACGGGUAUGGGUGUUGGGAGACAUCGCCCAGAGAUGGAUUCUGAGACACGAAUCCAGGCCCUACGGGGCGCAGCAGGCGCGAAAACUGCACAAUGUGGGAAACCACGAUGCGGGAAACCCAAGUGCCAGCGCUAUGCGUUGGCUGUCCUCCAGUGUUCGUAACUGGGGAAGAAAGUGCUGGGUAAGACGGGUGCCAGCCGCCGCGGUAAUACCCGCAGCACAAGUGGUGGUCAUUAUUAUUGGGCCUAAAGCGUCCGUAGCUGGCCUGUUAGAUGCCUGGGUAGAUCGAUGCGCUCAACGCAUCGAAUUCCGGGUAGACCGGCAGGCUUGGGACCGGGAGAGAUGUGAGCUACUCGAGGGGUAGGGGUAAAAUCCUGUAAUCCUUCGGGGAGGACCAGUGGCGAAGGCGUCACAUUAGAACGGCUCCGACAGUGAGGGACGAAGCCCUGGGGCGCAAACCGGAUUAGAUACCCGGGUAGUCCAGGGUGUAAACGCUGCAGACUUGGUGUCGGUGAUCCUACGAGGGUUGCCGGUGCCGUAGAGAAGUUGUUUAGUCUGCCGCCUGGGGAGUACGGUCGCAAGACUGAAACUUAAAGGAAUUGGCGGGGGAGCAC